rnacentral:lncRNA from 1 species
CAUGUCUCACCCGGCUGCCGUGCUGCCCACAGCCAGAAAGGCUGGUCUUACUCCUAUUGUGCCCCCACAACAGAACCAAGUUUAUUUCCAAGCAGCUGGUAAGCAGGGCUGAGAACGUGCUCCAGGCUACAAGCCUCCCAGCUGAGAAUGCAAGCCAACUCACAGUUUCUCAGGCAUCCCAUGGAGCCUGCAGAGGCAAUCCGCAUCCUUCAAAGGGUUUGUGGAUUCUUUCUGCUUUCCUGCUGUGACCUUCUUUUUCGCCGACUUCGAAUCAUAACUAAUGGGAAGGCCUUAGUAAGCUGAAAUAAUGAAAGCUGAUUUAUUUGGCCUUGGUCUAGGUUAGAUACUAAAUAUCCAGGCAAGAGAUCCCAGGGGCAAGGCAUAAACUAAAAAUUAAAAUGUGAAAUCAAAUGGCAGAAAAGAAUCCAGACAGUGUUCAUAAAGAGACUGUUUUUAUAUAAUCAUAGGACUAGAAAAAUGUAAUUUGGAAUAUUAGUUUUAUGCUUAUAUUUUCUCAAUCAUGUAAUUUUUUUAUUGCUCUUAGUUUUCUGUAAAGUCUGUUUGCAUCAAUAUAAUUCAAUUAUUUAAAACAUUUAAUGCAUAAUUAUUAUUAUAAAAAUAAUUUAAAGAUAGAGGUAAAUGGAAAACCGAGGAAUGUGUGUGGCAACUACCUUUAGAAUGUAAGUAUACAACCUUCAGGGGGAGCUAAACCACCAAUGAAACAAAAUUCUGCCUGAUCAUAUAUCACAGACAUAAAAAAGAUACAUCAUAAAAAUCCAUGUGCCAAUAAUGGCUUUGUAUUACCAUUUAAACCUUAUAAUUACCUAAAUGGAAACAUGUUUUAUUUCUGAAGCUGAAAAGACAAUUUUCCAUUUAAUAACCAUUUAUUCUCAGUCCAUGGUACACAAUAAUGCUUGCAUGAUUUGGAAACCGAAUUAAUCAGUUUUUCAGUUCCAGUAUAAUUAAAGGUGUUCAUAUCUGCUUUCAGUACACAAAGGGUCAUUAAACUAGAGAAAAAGGGAUAAAUAUUAACCUCACAGAUUACUUUUAUAGGUUCGGUGCCACUGUGAACCACCUCUAUAUUAUAAGUGUUCAUUAUACCAUUUCUUUUCAAUGAAUCCAUUCAAUACAUUAAGAUGUAAAUAAUGAACUGAUACCUAAAUUAACAACAAAACAUUAACUCCCAUUUUCCUCACUCUCGCCUUGCAUUAGUCCCUCAGCUGCUGAUGGAUCUAUGGAUAGUCUCAGACACACAUCUGCUUCUCUGACACAAAGGAUUAUGAUGAGGAAAUAAAAACACCUUAAUAUAGCCAAAAUCAUACAAUAAUAUUAUUAAGAAAUAAAAUUAAACCAAAUUUAAUAAACCAAUAAACUUCAAAAUAAAACCUCAUUGACCCUUAAGUAUUAAAAGGUGAUUUAUUCAAUUACCCAUAGUAUGUUAUUAACAUAGCUAUGACUUCUUUGUAUUUGUUAGAAAUUUUAUAUUAAGAAAUAUAUACAGUAGUUCCCAGUAGAAAUUUAUAUAAAAUACUCUAUUUUACAUAUGUAAUGAAAUCUAAGAUUUAAAAGAGAUUCUUUACUCUGGGGAAAAUAAUGGUGGAUUAAUUAAUUUGGUACUCUUUUAGGGCCUUUCUAAAUUAAAACUCCACAUUACAAUUUCCAAUGCAGCCCACAAACUUAAAUUUAUGAAGAAAUUUAACAAAUCUACUAAGAAAUAAAUUCAAAAUCUGUAAAAUAUGCAAUUUUAAUGUUAUUUAAAACUUUUAUUGCAAAUAUUCCUGUUAUUAGCAAAGUAGAAUCAAUGUAAUUCAGCCUAUUAAGAGAGUAAAUUAAAAAUCCACUUCAUACCCAUUAGGAUGGCUAUCAUAUAUUUAAAAAACAAAACAAACGGGUAUUUGUGAAGAGAGAGAAACUAGAACUUUCUGCCUUACUGGUGGGAAAGUAAAAUAGUGCUGCUGUGGAAAAUAGUAUAACAAUUUAAAACUAAACAUAAAAUUACCCUAUGACUCUGCAAUUCUACAUUUGAGUACAUACACAAAAUAAUUGAAACAGCAAUUCAGACAGCUUAUUUUGCAUCCAUGUUUAUAGAAUCCAAAUGUCCUUUGAUGAAUGAAUGGAUAAACAAAAUUUGGCAUUUAUACACAAUGCAAUGUUACUCAGCUUUAAAAAGAAAUGAAAUUCAAACACAUGCUAUAACAUAAUGAACCUUGAAUAUAUCAUGCUAAGUAAAAAAUAAUAAUAACCAGACACGACAGGACAAAUAUUGUAUGAUUCCACUUAAUGAGGUGCCUGCAGUAGUCAAAUUCAUAAAGAUGAAAAGUAGAACAGUGGUUACCAGGGCCUGGGAGAAUCAAUAAUGGGGAGUUAUUGAUUAGGGGAUACAGUUUCAGUUGAGGAAAAAGUUCUGAAGAUUUAUAAGGGUGGUUGAACAACAAUGUGAAUACGUUUAAUGGCACUGACUUGUACAUUUAAAAAUAGUUACAAGGAUAAAUUUUAUGUUUUCAAAAUUUAAAAAAAAGAUCUUAAUUGAUGCAGAAAAAUUAUCUGGCAAAUCCAAUAUCUAUUUCUCAAGUGUAAUUGUAUGCCUUUCAAAAAUAAUUCUGUGACUUUGUUGAAGGCUACGAGCCUACUGUGUGUGCCUAAUUUACUUUUCAUCUACUUGGGAAUACCACUUAACUUCAAGUUUCACCUUGGCUGGGCGCGGUGGCUCAUGCCUGUAAUCCCAGCACUUUGGGAGGCUGAGGCGGGUAGAUCACGAGGUCAGGAGGUCGAGACCAUCCUGGCCAACAUGGUGAAACUCUGUCUCUACUAAAAUACAAAAAAUUAGCCGGGCAUGGUGGUGCGCGCCUCUAGUCCCAGCUACUCGGGAGACUGAGGCAGGGGAAUCUCUUGAACCCAGGAGGCAGAGAUUGCAGUGAGCCGAGAUUGCGCCACUGUACUCCAGCCUCGCGACAGAGCAAGACUGUUGGGUCACGCCUGUAAUCCCAGCACUUUGGGAGGCCGAGGUGGGUGGAUCACCUGAGGUCAGGAGUUCGAGACCAGCCUCAACAUGGAGAAACUCCGUCUCUACUAAAAAUACAAAAAAAUUAGCCGGGCAUGGUAGUGCAUGCCUGUAAUCCCAGAUACUUGGGAGGCUGAGGCAGGAGAAUUGCUUCAACCUGGGAGGCGGAAGUUGCGUUGAGCUGAGAUCGUGCCAUUGCACUCCAGCCUCCAGCCUGGGCAACAAGAGCGAAACUCCGUCUCAAAAAAAAAAAAAAAAAAGAUUCACCUCAAUUACAAUUACCUUCUGGACCCUUCUCCCUUAACCUUUUUCUGUGACAAGAUGAAGAUUCAAUUGCUUUACUUUUAUUGUUGAUUUACUGACUGCUUUAUCAAAAAUUUAUCAAGAAUAUUGUAUUUGAUCAAACGCUUUCUGCAUGUGUUAUUUUUAAACGUGCUAAUAAAUUGAACUACCUCGAUCAAUUUAUAUACCUCAUUAUAUUUUCUUGAUUAUGUUUAGUAGUUUUAUUAUUAUUAU